CCCAAAACCACCAACCAAGGCCGGAUAAGAUGAGGCGCUCAGGGGGUCCGUGGUCAGACAGCGUUUCAAGUAGCCCACACCAGAGGCUGUGGGUGGAGGCAGGGAGCCCUGAGGAGGCCAGGCCUGGGCCCAGCUGGGGGCAGCAGCAGAAUGGAGAGGAGGACAGGGCCUGAGAGAGGCCUGUGCAGGCAGCUGGACAGGUCCUCUGAGGGCAGCCCCUAAACCGAUGAAGGUCACCAAAGCACACCCAGAGAAUGUUUCCAUGGCCUAAGAAGAAUGUGCCUUCCGAGUCCCCGGCUAAGGAAUCCAGGAGUGGCCAACCCAGAGAUUCACCUCUUACCCAUGAGGAACAGGCCCUGGCCCAUCCCUUGGAAUGCAGGCCCUGCGGGGGUCAAGGCCCUCUGUUCUGGGUUGGGAGGAGGUUGCUAGGGGGAGGGUGCGGAGGGAAAAAGCUACAUAAACUGCAGGCUUCUUACAAACUGGAGCGGCUCCCCUGUCCAGCCCACUGCCAGCAGACUGUCCCUGCAUGUAACUUCCUCCAAUAAACCCUGUGUCUCAUUCGCUGUUUCUAGGUCUCUUCUGUGGCCUCUUGGGCACGGUGCCAUCCCUUCUGGAGUCAACAGGGGUCUGGCACAGCAACUGGGA
rnacentral:lncRNA from 10 species